rnacentral:rRNA from 1 species
UACAGAGGUCUCAAGCGUUGUUCGGAUUCAUUGGGCGUAAAGGGUGCGUAGGUGGCGCGCUAAGUCAGGUGUGAAAUCUCGGGGCUUAACUCCGAAACUGCAUUUGAUACUGGCGUGCUUGAGGACUGGAGAGGAGACUGGAAUUCCUGGUGUAGCGGUGAAAUGCGUAGAGAUCAGGAAGAACAUCGGUGGCGAAGGCGGCAUCCUGGACCGGUAUUGACGCUGAGGCGCGAAAGCCAGGGGAGCAAACGGG